rnacentral:tRNA from 1 species
AUUUAAGUAGUUUAAUAAAAACUUUGAUUUGUGAUGUCAAAAAUAUAAGGUUAACUUAUUUUAAAUC